rnacentral:rRNA from 1 species
CGAAAGCCUGACGGAGCAACGCCGCGUGAGGGAUGAAGGCCUCUGGGCUGUAAACCUCUUUUAUCAAGGAAGAAGAUCUGACGGUACUUGAUGAAUAAGCCACGGCUAAUUCCGUGCCAGCAGCCGCGGUAAUACGGGAGUGGCAAGCGUUAUCCGGAAUUAUUGGGCGUAAAGCGUCCGCAGGCGGUCUUGUAAGUCUGUCGUUAAAGCGUGGAGCUUAACUCCAUUUAAGCGAAGGAAACUGCAAGACUAGAGUGUGGUAGGGGCAGAGGGAAUUCCCGGUGUAGCGGUGAAAUGCGUAGAUAUCGGGAAGAACACCAGUGGCGAAGGCGCUCUGCUGGGCCAUAACUGACGCUCAUGGACGAAAGCCAGGGGAGCG